UCACCAAUGCAUGCGGAAAUGCCAAAAUAAUUUAUUCAUAUAAAUUCGGAUUUAAUGUGUACCAUGGAGAUAUUAUUGAAACGCCAAACACACAUUACAUUUAACAGUAACACGAGCCGGCACAUAGCACAAACAAAACCACUACAUCACAAAUAUGUUUUCAUCUUCUUCUUCACUUGGCCCACUGUGACGCAUGGGCCAUUUAUUGAUGUCACACAAAUCUAAGCUGCCUUAGCCAAUCCUGGGCACCUCCGCCACGGUGUCAACCCAGAGGCGAACUCGCUUCAUGUUGAACUCCUCCGUGACCCUCGUGCCGACGGUGACCACCUCGACUUUGAGGUCCGGCCGGUCCGCCUUGAUCUUCUCCUUGGCCUCCUUGAUCUUCCGGCCCACCAGCUCCGGCCACUCCGUCUUGGGAGCGUCAGACACCUUGCCCUCAGCCGCCGGUGAGCUCAUCUUAGCAACAACUUCAAAUACAAAAAACAUGGUGUUUGUAAAACAUAAUUACAUAACGUACUCUUCGUAAAAGUGUGCAUGGCCACAUUGGAAGCUAAAUUAUUAGAGGAGAGGAGAUAAGUACUUACUUGCCACUAACUAUAAGCACUAUUUCAAUCGAUGCUUGCCCCCUGUGCGUUUGAUGGAUGCAGGUUUGGAUCGUAUUUAUAGGCGGUGCUGACUAGAGCGAAGCAACGUGCGCGCUUGUUCAGAUACGUGACCAAGUUCAUGCAUCUGGUUCACAGACCUUAUCGUGUAAUUUUAUAUAUAUGUUAUUGUCGACAUUUUUGACCAGGAAACUCCGAACAGUGGGCCAAAUGGAUGCAUGGAAAUUAAAGCUGAAUUACAACUUGCUGUUUAAAAAUAAAUAUCAUGGAGCAAAUAAAUUUGAUAAGCUUAGUUGCUAAUAAAUAAAUAUGGGCAAUCUUGAUUUUUCUUCUGAAAAUGCUAGUGGUAUGUAAUGUGGUUUGAUCAGUUGGAUAUAGCUCAAGAUGGUUUUACAGAUUUAUAAGCUUGUUCUUGCAUUUUGUUCUCAAAAGGACACUGCAGUUAAUGCAAAGUUGUUAGUCCUCAAUUGCUACAAGAAAAACACUCGUUCGUGUCGUCUUAUCCUUGCAAAUCCAAUUAUGGACAACAUGGAUAGGCCCCCCCAAGUAUAUUAUCCACUAGCAUGGAUGGUCUAUGAGGUAUUCAUACCAGCUCGGGCAUUGUUACUUUUCUUGCUUUUGCAAUUUGAUUUCAUCUUAUUUUGAAAACUUAUGAAUUUUUUAUGUGGAUCUGGAUGGAGAAAAAAAUUGUAGAUUCGACAAGAUUUACAGGAAUUUAUUUAAUUUUUGUAUUCGAACUUUUAUUAUCAAAAGUGAAGUAUAUGUGUGAUGGAAUGUGGGGAUCGCGCGAGAGGGGAAUUUGUGGGUUAGAAGUCAUAAAACCACACACAUGCAGACUUGUGAUUUGCUAUGCGCGACCAUGUGGGUUGCUUGGCCCACGGUCUAUCGAUCUACAAAAAGAACAUUUUUUUGGCUCUUUUCUUUUACCAAUUUUUCUUCUAACUGACCAAGUUGGCUUCUAUUGCGAGCUGGCAGGAUAAGCGUCACUGUCGACUGUGCAGCCGGCUGUUGUCUUUAUAGUGCCAGCUGGAUAAUAACCAUCAUGGAUGAGAGUCAGCAGCUUGUGAUCUUGGGUGGGGUGGGUUUAUUGUGCGUACGUUUGUUUGUUGUUUCUGUCAAACAAGCUUGUGCAUAACCAUGACCAUUUAUGGCCAAUUAGUAGUGGUUAUUAACAAUCACCAUAUUCUAAUGUUAGUUAGUGGUUUACUAGACAGUGUCUAGUUAGUAAACUAAAAAAAAUGUAACUAAGUUUAAAAUUUUUCUUAAUUUUUCAUAGCCUGACGACUUCAGGACGUAUCAUCAAAAGCGCGUGUACUUAUUUCCAUACAGUUAACCAAACACCAACUUAUCUGUCCUAUCCCCCUCGUAUGAACGCACGCUUCGAGAUUUUUUUAUAUAGUAGUCCAAUGAGGACCAUGCCUGAAAAUUUGGAUUUCAUUUAUAAACCAUAAAAUUGGUAAUAAUGUAGGUCAGGAGCGUAUCUGCGAGUAGAAUAUCUUGUAUAUAAGCUCUAUGGAUUCAAUCUUCAGUCUCGAGAGUAGAGAAUGUACAUUGACAUUUCCAGAAAAGUGGCAAUGGUUUCUGUAGUCUAAUUAACAAAAUAUGCAAAAUCAUGUUAAGUGGUCUCUUCUUCAUUUAGUGUUUCUCUGUCUUUUCUGAGAUAUUUUUUUUUUAUGAUUACAAGGAUAACCCACACCCGCAAGUGUGUCUCCUGCCACAUGUAUAUAGAUAAAUCACUAGAAGUUCUAUGCUGUCAUCAAGAUGUGAACCCUGGUGGAGUCAUACCCUCUGGCCUCCACCAUAUAUCACACCAGUACCCUUUUACACAUUAUACUUGGAAAACUGUUGAGAUUCCAAAUAUACUAAAAAUAUAUGUGAUGUGGAUGUUAUUUUGUUCAAUUAACUGUGAGCAACAUUAUGGUUCAAAUCAUUAGAAAAUGAAGCAAUGGAUUGAAAAAAACAAUUUGUAUUUGAAUCUUGCAAUAAAAGUAAAGUUAAACGUUUAACACUUAGGUAAGCAGUGAAUGUUCAGUAAUAACAACUUAGCAAAAGGCCAAUAUAUCUUUAGCAAGAAAACUGAUAGCCUCAACUGAACUCUAAACUUAAGUGCAUCUAGAUUGAGUGACCUUCAUGGCCUGUCUGAUGGGCAUAUAUGCACAUCUUGUUUUACAAAUGAGUUAGAGAAGCUGAAUUUUAUUAUAAGGCUUCGCAUAAUAAUGAACAAGUUUGUAAAAGUGUAGCAGUUUUGUAUGCACCUUAUAUGUUCAAGUUACCAAAGGUACAGAUUGGCAUAACAAUGACCCUUGGAGACAUCUCAUGUGUUUGUGCGAACCCACAAAGAUGUUUAUACGGACUAUAUAUCGGGCAGACGUGGAUUACCUGAAUCGCACAAACCACUCCAAGCUCCAUAUGAGUACGCCUUCCAAAUUACAGAUACGUUUAUAGAACCACGAGAAUUCGACACUUUUUUGCUAUAACUUUCAUUCUUUUGAUAAUACAUAUUUUCUCAUGUGCCCAUAUAUCAAUUCAAUUUGAUUGCUGACCUUUAUUGAUAAAUGAUAAUGCAAAGUACACACAUCUCUUACAUAGUUGGCAACAAAGCACAUAAUAUAUUAAUGUGCAUGCAACAUUCAUAUAGAAACAAACAUGCCACAACAUGCAUGUUUUCUUAUUUAAUUACUGUUUCAACAUAACACAGGCCACGCUUGGACCAUUAUAUUCCACUUUAGCCAAUCUUCGGAACCUCAGCCACAGUAUCAACCCGAAGACGAACGCGAUUUGGGUCGAUCAUUUGGUCCACCAUGGUGCCAAUAGGGGUGACCACAACAUUGAGGUCUGGCCGGUCCGCCUUAAUCCUCUCUUUUGCCACCUUAAUUGUGCAGCCCACAAGUUCAGGCCACUCCGUCUUGGGAGCAUCGCAUGCCUUACUGUCAGCUGGAGAGCUCAUCUUCACAGCUGCUCAAAGCGACACCUUCAGU
rnacentral:lncRNA from 1 species